rnacentral:tRNA from 1 species
GCUGGCUUAGUUGAUACAAUGCUUGACUUUGAAUCAUGGAACCUGAGUUCAAUCCUCAGAACCUACA